UACGUAGGCAGCGAGCGUUGUUCGGAGUUACUGGGCGUAAAGGGUGUGUAGGCGGUUGUUUAAGUUUGGUGUGAAAUCUCCCGGCUCAACUGGGAGGGUGCGCCGAAUACUGAAUGACUUCGAGUGCGGGAGAGGAGAGUGGAAUUCCUGGUGUAGCGGUGAAAUGCGUAGAUAUCAGGAGGAACACCGGUGGUGUAGACGGCUUUCUGGACCGUAACUGACGCUGAGACACGAAAGCGUGGGUAGCAAACAGG
rnacentral:rRNA from 1 species